AAGGCAUCACUUUGUCCGGACUCUAAUUCAAAUUGUAUUCAUCCGAUCUUCACCAAACUUGGUCAGCAGUUGCAUCUAGUUGAUAUCUAGGCCAAGUUCGAAUAUGGGUCAUGCCGGGUCAAAAACUAGGUCAUAGGGUCAAUAAGUGCAUUUUCAAAGGGGCCACUUUGUCCGGACUCUAUUUCAAAUUGUAUUCAUCCGAUCUUCACCAAACUUGGUCAGCAGUUGCAUCUAGUUGAUAUAUAGGCCAAGUUCGAAUAUGGGUCAUGCCGGGUCAAAAACUAGGUCAUAGGGUCAAUUAGUGCAUUUUCAACGGCGCCACUUUGUCCGGACUCUAAUUCAAAUUGUAUUCAUCCGAUCUUCACCAAACUUGGUCAGAAGUUGUAUCUAGACAAUAUCUAGGUCAAGUUCGAAUAUGGGUCAUGCCGGGUCAAAAACUAGGUCACAGGGUCACUUAAACCAUUUCAAGCAUUUAGCAUGGUGUCCGCUCUCUAAUUGAAGUAGUUAUCAUCCGAUCUUCACCAAAUUUGGUCAGAAGUUGUGUCUAGACAAUAUCUACAUGUAGGUCAAG